AUAACCUGAGGGGCAUAACUAGGGCUGGUAAAAUUUGCCAUGGGUGACACACCUAAGUAACUCUUAUAGCAUAUAUACAGUUUCCACUCAACUCCAUUUGGUUUGUUUAACAGUAUAAUACCAGCUCAUGCCACGACACCUCUACAACAGCAGAGAGUUCCCGUGACCCGGUCAACGUCAACCAUCUUGAAGGACAUAUGAAUUCUCUAAUUGCACCGCAAGGAGAUGAGGAGUGAGGAAGUUUCCAGAGUAGCUAGGAGCGAGGAUACACAGGUGUAUCCUAUGUGGAAGUGUUUCUUAUCGAAAAACCUGG